GGAGCUGCAUCCACCAAUGGCUUCCUAGUGAUGCGUACAAGAAGUAGAAAAACACCAGGCUGCAGACUAGCUGAUGAAUCUCUACAUGGUAAAAUCUUACAGCCCUUUCAGAGUGAUGGAUUUUAAGGGCAACAAAAUAUACAUGGACUGAAUUCCUUCGGGGCAUCAUUUCCUACUCACAUUAACAAGCCGAAGGAAAGCAUCAUUAGGGAUUUUCCUAUCUCGCGCAUGAGAAAAUUGCAACGGAGACCGGUGAAAAAGUUUGGACAUUUUCUUGGCCCUAUUAGCGGGCCAGGCAGAGUGGAGAUCCCUGAUGCUUAAGACUUCCUGCCAACGAAUCUUUAAAGGAAUAUUUCGGCAGCUGCUGGGUUCAUGUAUCCUGAGAAGGAAUCCAGGAAAGUGUAAUUUGAUGAGAUUGCUAAAACAAUUCCAGGAAUCCAAGUUGGCCCAGCAACCUUUGGGUGAACAGAGAAACGG